UGGUAAUGAUGAGGACAACUAAUGAGUAGAGAUUUGAACCUGUCCCAAGCUUGGUAUAAAUUUUUGCCAGACUACUGUUUAAAGCUCAAAAUUUUCGAUCUUAGCUU